rnacentral:rRNA from 1 species
AUGGCUCACCAAACCUUUGACCGGUACGGGCCAUGAGAGUGGUAGCCCGGAGAUGGACACUGAGACAAGGGUCCAGGCCCUACGGGGCGCAGCAGGCGCGAAACCUCCUCAAUGCACUAACGUGCGAAGGGGUUACCUCGAGUGCCAUCUGAAGAAGGUGGCUUUUCCUUGGUCUAAAAAGCCUCGGGAAUAAGAGGGGGGCAAGACUGGUGUCAGCCGCCGCGGUAACACCAGCCCCUCGAGUGGUGGGGAUGAUUAUUUGGCCUAAAGCGUCCGUAGCCGGCCGGGUAAGUUUCCCGUUAAAUCCAACGUCUCAAGCGUUGGACUGCGGGAAAUACUGCCUGGCUAGAGAGUGGGAGAGGUCAGCGGUAUUCUGGGGGUAGGGGCGAAAUCCUUUGAUCCCCGGAGGACCACCAGUGGCGAAGGCUGCUGACUAGAACACGUCUGACGGUCAGGGACGAAAGCUGGGGUAGCAAACCGGAUUAGAUACCCGGGUAGUCCCAGCCGUAAACGAUGCAUGCUAGGUGUUGGGUUGGCCACGAGCCACCCCAGUGCCGCAGGGAAGCCGUUAAGCAUGCCGCCUGGGAAGUACGAUCGCAAGAUUGAAACUUAAAGGAAUUGGCGGGGGAGCACCACCAGGCGUGAAGCCUGCGGUUUAAUUGGAGUCAACGCCGGGAACCUUACCGGAAGCGACAGCAGAGUGAAGGCCAGAUUGAAGAUCUUGCCAGACGAGCUGAGAGGAGGUGCAUGGCCGUCGCCAGUUCGUGCCGUGAGGUGUUCUCUUAAGUGAGAUAACGAACGAGACCCGCGCCACAUGUUGCCAUCAGAAUCUAAAGGAUUGCUGGGCACUCUUGUGGGACCGCAGCCGAUAAGGCUGAGGAAGGGGCGGGCAACGGCAGGUCAGUAUGCCCCGAAUCUUCCGGGCCACACGCGGGCUGCAAUGGUAUGGACAGAGGGCUGCCACCCCGAGAGGGGGAGCCAAUCCCUAAACCAUACCUCAGUUGGGAUUGAGGGCUGCAACCCGCCCUCAUGAACAUGGAAUACCUAGUAACUGCCAGUCAUCAUCUGGCGGUGAAUACGUCCCUGCUCCUUGCACACACUGCCCGUCGAACCACCCGAAUGAGGUUUGGGUGAGGAAUGGUCGAAUGUUGGCCGUUUCGAACCUGGGCCUCGUAAGGAGGGUUAAGUCGUAACAAGGUG